GGUCAAGCUACAAAGAGCGCACGGCGGAUGCCUAGGCGCCAGGAGUCGAUGAAGGACGGAGCCAGCACCGAAAUGCCGCGGGGAGCCGCAAGCAAGCGUAGAUCCGCGGAUGUCCGAAUGGGGAAACCCGGA
rnacentral:rRNA from 1 species